rnacentral:rRNA from 1 species
UGGCCUACGGGGGGCAGCAGUGAGGAAUAUUGGUCAAUGGGCGGGAGCCUGAACCAGCCAAGUCGCGUGAGGGAAGACGGUCCUAUGGAUUGUAAACCUCUUUUGUCGGGGAGCAAAGAGAGUCACGUGUGGCUCAUUGAGAGUACCCGAAGAAAAAGCAUCGGCUAACUCCGUGCCAGCAGCCGCGGUAAUACGGAGGAUGCGAGCGUUAUCCGGAUUUAUUGGGUUUAAAGGGUGCGCAGGCGGAGGUGCAAGUCAGUGGUCAAAUUGCGGGGCUCAACCCCGUACUGCCGUUGAAACUGCAU